rnacentral:rRNA from 1 species
AUUGAACGCUGGCGGCAGGCCUAACACAUGCAAGUCGAACGGUAACAGGAAGAAGCUUUCUUCUUUGCUGUCGAGUGGCGGACGCGUGUGAAAUGUCUGUUAAACUCUCUGUUGGAGGGGGAGAUCUCCUAGAAACGGUUGCUAAUAUCGCAUAACCUCGCAACGCCAAAAAGGAGGGGCUCCGCGCCCCUUGCCAUCGGAUGUGCCCAGAUGGGAUUAGCUUGUUGGUGGGGUAACGGCUCACCAAGGCCAGGAUCCCUAGCUGGUCUGAGAGGAGGACCAGCCACACUGGAACUGAGACACGGUCCAGACUCCUACGGGAGGCAGAAGUGGGGAAUAUUGCACAAUGGGAGCAAGCCUGAUGCAGCCAUGCCGCGUGUAUGAAAGAGGCCUUCGGGUUGUAAAGUACUUUCAGAGGGGAGGAAGGGGGUAAAGUUAAUACCUUAGCUCAUUGACGUUACCCGAAGAAGAAGCACCGGCUAACUACGUG